rnacentral:rRNA from 1 species
CCUACGGGGGGCAGCAGUGGGGAAUAUUGCACAAUGGGGUAAACCCUGAUGCAGCGACGCCGCGUGAGUGAAGAAGUAUCUCGGUACGUAAAGCUCUAUCAGCAGGGAAGAAAAUGACGGUACCUGACUAAGAAGCCCCGGCUAACUACGUGCCAGCAGCCGCGGUAAUACGUAGGGGGCAAGCGUUAUCCGGAUUUACUGGGUGUAAAGGGAGCGUAGACGGCAGCGCAAGUCUGGAGUGAAAUGCCGGGGCCCAACCCCGGAACUGCUUUGGAAACUGUGCAGCUCGAGUGCAGGAGAGGUAAGCGGAAUUCCUAGUGUAGCGGUGAAAUGCGUAGAUAUUAGAAGGAACACCAGUGGCGAAGGCGGCUUACUGGACUGUAACUGACGUUGAGGCUCGAAAGCGUGGGGAGCAAACAGGAUUAGAUACCCGUGUAGUC